rnacentral:rRNA from 1 species
CGGGUGAGUAACGCGUGAGGAACCUGCCUCAUACAGGGGGAGUAACAGUUAGAAAUGGCUGCUAAUACCGCAUAAGACCACAGUACUGCAUGGUACAGUGGUAAAAACUCCGGUGGUAUGAGAUGGACCCGCGUCUGAUUAGGUAGUUGGUGAGGUAACGGCCCACCAAGCCGACGAUCAGUAGCCGACCUGAGAGGGUGACCGGCCACAUUGGGACUGAGACACGGCCCAGACUCCUACGGGAGGCAGCAUG